rnacentral:rRNA from 1 species
CGUUAGCGGCGGACGGGUGAGUAACACGUGGGUAACCUACCUAUAAGACUGGGAUAACUUCGGGAAACCGGAGCUAAUACCGGAUAAUAUUUCGAACCGCAUGGUUCGAUAGUGAAAGAUGGUUUUGCUAUCACUUAUAGAUGGACCCGCGCCGUAUUAGCUAGUUGGUAAGGCAACGGCUUACCAAGGCGACGAUACGUAGCCGACCUGAGAGGGUGAUCGGCCACACUGGAACUGAGACACGGUCCAGACUCCUACGGGAGGCAGCAGAC